UACGGGGGGGGCAAGCGUUGUUCGGAAUUACGGGGCGUAAAGGGCUCGUAGGCGGCCAACUAAGUCAGACGUGAAAUCCCUCGGCUUAACCGGGGAACUGCGUCUGAUACUGGAUGGCUUGAGUUCGGGAGAGGGAUGCGGAAUUCCAGGUGUAGCGGUGAAAUGCGUAGAUAUCUGGAGGAACACCGGUGGCGAAGGCGGCAUCCUGGACCGAUACUGACGCUGAGGAGCGAAAGCCAGGGGAGCAAACGGG
rnacentral:rRNA from 1 species